rnacentral:rRNA from 1 species
CCUACGGGAGGCAGCAGUAGGGAAUCUUCCACAAUGGGCGCAAGCCUGAUGGAGCAACACCGCGUGAGUGAAGAAGGGUUUCGGCUCGUAAAGCUCUGUUGUUGGAGAAGAACGUGCGUGAGAGUAACUGUUCACGCAGUGACGGUAUCCAACCAGAAAGUCACGGCUAACUACGUGCCAGCAGCCGCGGUAAUACGUAGGUGGCAAGCGUUAUCCGGAUUUAUUGGGCGUAAAGCGAGCGCAGGCGGUUGCUUAGGUCUGAUGUGAAAGCCUUCGGCUUAACCGAAGAAGUGCAUCGGAAACCGGGCAACUUGAGUGCAGAAGAGGACAGUGGAACUCCAUGUGUAGCGGUGGAAUGCGUAGAUAUAUGGAAGAACACCAGUGGCGAAGGCGGCCGUCUGGUCUGCAACUGACGCUGAGGCUCGAAAGCAUGGGUAGCGAACAGGAUUAGAUACCCGGGUAGUC